rnacentral:ncRNA from 1 species
AAAGACUUAGUCCUAACCUUACAGUUGGUUUCUGCCAAACUUAUACAUGCAAGUAUCCGCGCCCCAGUGUAAAUGCCCUCGGCCUCUUACUAAGACAAAAGGAGCAGGUAUCAGGCACGCCAGAUGCAGCCCAAAACACCUUGCUCAGCCACACCCCCACGGGCCCCAGCAGUAAUUAACAUUAAGCUAUAAGCGAAAGCUUGACUUAGCUAUGGCACGAACCCAGGGCUGGUCAAUCUUGUGCCAGCCACCGCGGUCAUACAAGAAGCCCAAAUCAACCGUGUCCGGCGUAAAGAGUGGUCCUAACACUGUCCUCGUAACUAGGACCAAAUUACAACUGAGCUGUCAUAAGCCAAAGAUGUACUAAAGCCCAAUAUAAACAUAGUCCUAGCACCAUGGACCAACAACCCCCACGAAAGCCAGGAAACAAACUGGGAUUAGAUACCCCACUAUGCCCGGCCUUAAAUCUCGAUGCCCCCACACCUGAGCAUCCGCCCGGGAACUACGAGCACAAACGCUUAAAACCCUAAGGACUUGGCGGUGUCCCAAACCCCCCUAGAGGAGCCUGUUCUGUAAUCGAUACUCCACGCUUCACCUGGCCCCUCCUUGCCCAAGCAGCCUACAUACCGCCGUCACCAGCUCACCCUUCUUGAAGGACAAACAGUGAGCGCAAUAACCCUCCCGUUAACAAGACAGGUCAAGGUAUAGCCCAUGGAGGGGAAGAAAUGGGCUACAUUAUCUAAUUUAGAUCAACCCUUACUUUAACGGAAGGAGGCCUGAAACAUGCCUCCAGAAGGAGGAUUUAGCAGUAAAACAUGAUAAUCAAGCAUGCCUUAAGCUGGCUCUGGGACACGUACAUACCGCCCGUCACCCUCCUCAUAAGCUGUAACCCACACUAACUAACCAGUAAACCCAAGCUAACUAGAUGAGGUAAGUCGUAACAAGGUAAGUGUACCGGAAGGUGCACUUAGCAUAC